rnacentral:tRNA from 1 species
CGGGGCUUAGCUCAGAUGGGAGAGCGCCUGCUUUGCACGCAGGAGGUCAGCGGUUCGAUCCCGCUAGUCUCCACCA